rnacentral:rRNA from 1 species
GAUGAACGCUGGCGGCGUGCCUAAUACAUGCAAGUCGAGCGAACGGACGAGAAGCUUGCUUCUCUGAUGUCAGCGGCGGACGGGUGAGUAACACGUGGAUAACCUACCUAUAAGACUGGGAUAACUUCGGGAAACCGGAGCUAAUACCGGAUAAUAUUUUUAACCGCAUGGUUCAAAAGUGAAAGACGGUCUUGCUGUCACUUAUAGAUGGAUCCGCGCUGCAUUAGCUAGUUGGUAAGGUAACGGCUUACCAAGGCAACGAUGCAUAGCCGACCUGAGAGGGUGAUCGGCCACACGGGAACUGAGACACGGUCCAGACUCCUACGGGAGGCAGCAGUAGGGAAUCUUCCGCAAUGGGCGAAAGCCUGGCGGAGCAACGCCGCGUGAGUGAUGAAGGUCUUCGGAUCGUAAAACUCUGUUAUUAGGGAAGAACAUAUGUGUAAGUAACUGUGCACAUCUUGACGGUACCUAAUCAGAAAGCCACGGCUAACUACGUG